AAUCUACUCCCUCCGUUCGGAAUUACUUGUCUCGGAAAUGGAUGUAUCUAGAACUAAAAUACAUCUAGAUACAUCCAUUUCCGCGACAAGUAAUUCCGAACAGAGAGAGUACUCC
rfam:Triticum urartu cultivar G1812 contig850760, whole genome shotgun sequence.